AUGCUCCCCAACAGUCAUCUUCAAAAUUAAAGCAACCUUCUUGUAUCCUCUACUCCAACAAUGUUUCAUUCCCAUGACCAAAACUCUUACGUGAAAAAAUACGGGUGGAGAUUAAUAUAGUAAUUAACAUUAAUGUUAGAUGUGCUUGAUUCGUGAAGGAUAAUAAAUUAAAAUUUUAUCUAAAACUUUUAACCAUAGUGGGACGUUGGAU